rnacentral:rRNA from 1 species
CGUGUAGGCGGCCAAUUAAGCUAGGUGUUAAAGACCACGGCUCAACCGGGGGAAUGCAUUUAGAACUGAAUGGCUAGAGGACGAGAGAGGAAAGUGGAAUUCCUAGUGUAGCGGUGGAAUGCGUAGAUAUUAGGAGGAACACCAGUGGCGAAGGCGACUUUCUGGACUGUAACUGACACUGAGGCUCGAAAGCCAGGGUAGUGAACG